AUCACGUUUAAACCCUACAACAGUCCAUAUCUUUUCAAUCAUCCAUAAUUGCUCACGUCUUCUAACAGAGCCCCAAAACCUAAGAGAAUUCAUCCACUUCACGCUAUAGUAGCUGCCUUGAAUCUCUCCAACAUCACUUUUUAAUGGCGAAUCCAGGUGAACAAAAUGGUGACCACUUAUUUAUACCAGUUUGCGAUGAAUCGUUGAAGCCCUUUGUGGGUCAAUUGUCCAAUUCUGAAGAAGAAGCUUUUCAGUUUUACAAAACUUACGGAAAGUCAUCUGGUUUCGAUGUUCGUAGAGGAUCCUCUAGCUGAGAAGGGAAAAUAUGUUCAAUUGCGAAUGAGUAAUUUCAGUUUUCCAAAUAAAAAUGAAAUCAUCAAAAAAUAGGAGUGAAGCCGUGGAUUGCCAUAUUACAUAAUAUCAUAAUAUAAUGUUUGUACGAAUUUUUAUGCAUUUAACAUAUGAACAAAUUUAGCAAGUAAUUACGAAUAUUAUUAUAUAUGAAGUUUAACAUGGAUUUUUGUUCAA